UGCAUAUCAAUAAGCGGAGGAAAAGAAACUAACAAGGAUUCCCCUAGUAACGGCGAGUGAAGCGGGAUGAGCUCAAAUUUGUAAUCUGGUGGACUCAGUUCAUCCGAGUUGUAAUCUAUAGAAGUGUUUUCCGCGCUGGACCGUGUCUAAGUCCCUUGGAACAGGGUGUCAGAGAGGGUGAGAAUCCCGUGCUUGAUACGACCACCAGUGCUAUGUGAUACACUUUCAACGAGUCGAGUUGUUUGGGAAUGCAGCUCAAAAUGGGUGGUAAAUUCCAUCUAAAGCUAAAUAUUGGCGAGAGACCGAUAGCGAACAAGUACCGUGAGGGAAAGAUGAAAAGCACUUUGGAAAGAGAGUUAAACAGUACGUGAAAUUGUUAAAAGGGAAACGAUUGAAGUCAGUCGUGCUCUCUGGGACUCAGCCGGUUCUUCCGGUGUACUUCCCAGUGAGCGGGUCAACAUCAGUUUAGAUCGCUGGAUAAAGGUAUUAGGAAGGUGGCUCCCUCGGGAGUGUUAUAGCCUAGUAUCGCAUACAGUGGUUUAGACUGAGGAACGCAGCUCGCCUUUAUGGCCGGGGUUCGCCCACGUCCGAGCUUAGGAUGUUGACAUAAUGGCUUUAAACGACCCGUCUUGAA
rnacentral:rRNA from 1 species